CCUACGGGAGGCAGCAGUGAGGAAUAUUGGUCAAUGGGCGCGAGCCUGAACCAGCCAAGUAGCGUGAAGGAUGACUGCCCUACGGGUUGUAAACUUCUUUUAUAAAGGAAUAAAGUGCGGGACGUGUCCCGUUUUGUAUGUACCUUAUGAAUAAGGAUCAGCUAACUCCGUGCCAGCAGCCGCGGUAAUACGGAGGAUCCGAGCGUUAUCCGGAUUUAUUGGGUUUAAAGGGUGCGUAGGCGGCCUUUUAAGUCAGCGGUGAAAGUCUGUGGCUCAACCAUAGAAUUGCCGUUGAAACUGGGAGGCUUGAGUAUGUUUGAGGCAGGCGGAAUGCGUGGUGUAGCGGUGAAAUGCUUAGAUAUCACGCAGAACCCCGAUUGCGAAGGCAGCCUGCCAAGCCAUGACUGACGCUGAUGCACGAAAGCGUGGGGAUCAAACAGGAUUAGAUACCCCUGUAGUC
rnacentral:rRNA from 1 species